UUUGUGUUAAGAAAAGAAAAAGAAACAAGAAAGGUAGAGGAAACUCUUAGAAGGUUUUGAAUAUAAAAAGUGAUUGAGAUGUUAGUGUUUGCAUUCCCUUGCAUUGAAGACAUAAAUUUUGAAUGUAAAAAAGUGAUUGAGAUGUUAGUGUUUGCAUUCCCUUGUAUUUGAAGACACAAAUUCAUCAUCCUUUAGACCAUAAUGCUAGAAAGAAAAAGGCCAAUUCUGCUGACUGAUAUUGGUACUAAUUGAAAUUGGUCACUGAUUCUAUUGAACUUGUCCCAAGUUGUAUGCUUGAGGGAACUUUAGCGCAAAAACUGGAUUACUAGAUAUAAAGAUCAUUGAGGGUCCUUCACUCAACUGGUUGAGCUUUUGUAUAAUUUUUGGUUCUUGAUUCUUGACACACUUGUUACUUAAGGGUUAUCCCCCAACGCCAAUUCGCUUUCUGUGCAGAAGUUAAGAGGGUGUUGCGACCUGGUGGAAAGUAUGUGUUUGUCGAACACUUGGCUGCAAAAGAUGGCACAACUCUCAAAUUUUUCCAACGACUUAUUGAUCCUCUGCAGCAGAUACUUGCAGAUGGGUGCCACCUUUCAAGAGAUACAGGAAACAGCAUAUACAAAGCUGGAUUUUCAAGUGUUGAGUUCAAGACAGCAUUUGUGUCUAACGCUUCAUUUAUAAACCCCCAUAUAUAUGGAAUAGCAUACAAGUAGCACUGAAAGGCACAACCUGCCCAGCUACAUGGCUUCGAUCAAGGACUAAAUCUUCCUCUUCCUCAACAUCUAUACCAAGCACAAAUUUCUGAAGUUAUACCAUGAAGUAUGUUUCGUAUCAAGUUUUUCCAGUUUCAAAAUAGUGAGGUGGAGGAGACACUUAUUUUGCGUCAUUUACAACAUAAUAUAGGUUUCAACACUUAUUUUUUUUAUUUCAUCCAAGACUUGGAAGUUUGAGCCGACGUCCAUGGCACCAACGACGGGCUCCAAUACCAUUGUUAAGUAUCUAAGAAAAGUAGGAAACCACACCUUAAAAGCUAGCUGAUGAGUGGUUCUACAUCAAGCAUCCUAUACUACCCGAUAUGAGACUUUGAGCAUUCCAUAAUACCAAGUCCCUAACAGACACCUUUUGUUCCCCAACAAAGUCUUGCGUGCUUGGUUAAUAUGUUGUGUUGUCCACCUAUCUUCUUCUUCUUGCUAUAAAGCAUCUUUAAUGGCAUCAUUGUCAAACACAAAUUUGGCUAGUGUUGUUUUGCACAUAUCUCGAAUUCCAGUAUCGAAAUGAUGCAACAA